CAAACACACACACAAAAUUAUUUACAUCAGUUCAAUUUUUAUUCUAUGUUUUUUUUUUUUAAAGUAUUUAAGAAGGAUGUAAAAUGGAAGACCGCGUCAUUCUUUUGGUUUCUGAAAGGCUCGUGUUCCCCCUACUUAGACAACAGAAGGUAACAAUCGUAUUUUAUUCCCCGCAGUAGUGAAAGUGUGCAGCCCAGGUACAGUGAGGAGAAGUCCCAGUGUGCUCUGCUGCUCUAGUUGACUAUAUUUGGUUGGUGGGAUGAGGGCUGGAUCUCGCCGUCUGCGUGCGACAGAUGGCCUGGUGCCAAUAGGCGAAUGUGACCACAUUCAUCCAGAGACGGGCGCGUGCAACUCUCUCUGUGUGUUUGUUUGAGAGAGCGGCAUAGAGAGGGAGCGACAUAAGAACAGCUGCUUGACAGCGAUGGAGAUCUUCAGCUCAUUCUGAUGUGAGCUGCAGCGCAUCUGAAAAAAAAAAAAAACUCCAGAAGCGCCUCAUUUUUCCCCACUCACUUAAAAUGUCCCUGUGAUCUGACUGGGGGGGCAUCUAAAGGAGUUUUGUGGGCCGGGGGGCUGGGUAAGACCAAGCGUACAGUGAAAGCUGCUUAACGUCCAGCUGUUCAGCUUCCCAUCAGGACGCCAGAGGAGCGAUCGUAGAUGCAAAAUAAAGCAUGCCCGCACAAUCAAAGCAGCACAGACAUUUGACCAGGAAAAACUACAUUUCUGGUUCACUUCUUUCCCCUAAUUUAGCAUUUGGGGAACUCGUACCGUGCAUUACAGGUGAUUGUUUCUUAUUUGGUGGAACCGGUAAUCGACAUACGCUGAUUAAAUCUUUUUAUUUCACAGGAAUACUGUGAUUUAAAGAGAAGUUGUUGUAAUGUUAUGGUUGAUCACUUUACAUCAACGCCAUCAUGUCAGGAGGUCACAGUGUCGUUUAACUCUGCAGCCAGAUGAAGGUUAAUCUGCUGGACCAGAUCAGCAAGAACGACCCAGAAAAGGCUUUUAAAUGAAAUGAGCCUCAUGGUUUCAAUAAAAUACCAGUAGCUUAAAAUGACCUCAAGACGAACGCACACCCAGUAGUCUUUUCACAUUUUGUCAUGCGAAAAUAAAUUUGAUUCUAUUUCACUGGGAUUUAGGAGAUCAAACUCAAAGUAGUGCAUCUUUAUGAAGCGGCAUGAAAAUACAAGACACAUGGUUCAACGUUAAAUCUAAAAGUGUGGUAUGGAUUUGUUUUAAUCCAUACCACUCGUCCACUUUUAUGGAAGAGUGGAAAAGGGGAUGCCAAAUAAAAACAAUACAAGAAACAAAAGGAAGUCCCAUUUAAAGUUAGAUUUAAAAAAAAAAAAAAAAAAAGGUAGUAGACAAGAAUGACGUGCAGAAGGAUGUACUCUGCUUAGACGAAAUCUAAAUUCAGCAAUACUGGAAGCCUAUUACAGGUAGGAAAAGAUUUGAAACAGCGACCAAAGUUUCCAGCAGUCAGACAUUUUCCAGAAGGUCUGCAGCUACACAGGUGGACUUUGCUAAUUCUGUGAUUUCUGAAGAAGACUGGUUGAACAAGAUUCAAUUAAAGGGUGUGAGUACUUUUCAAAUAAAAAGGAAAACUAAAACAAAAAGUAAAACAAAAAAAAAAAAAUUAAAUAUUGAAUUUUUCUUCCAUCAAAGUUUGAUGCUGUAAAACGAUAACAUAUGGAAAAAGUUCAAUGGGAAUACAAUAUGAUCCUCAAUAAAAGUUUGUUGAAAUGAUGCUGUGGAGGACA